UGGGGAAUAUUGCACAAUGGGCGCAAGCCUGAUGCAGCCAUGCCGCGUGUGUGAAGAAGGCCUUCGGGUUGUAAAGCACUUUCAGCGGGGAGGAAGGCGUUAAGGUUAAUAACCUUGGCGAUUGACGUUACCCGCAGAAGAAGCACCGGCUAACUCCGUGCCAGCAGCCGCGGUAAUACGGAGGGUGCAAGCGUUAAUCGGAAUUACUGGGCGUAAAGCGAACGCAGGCGGUCUGUCAAGUCGGAUGUGAAAUCCCCGGGCUCAACCUGGGAACUGCAUUCGAAACUGGCAGGCUAGAGUCUUGUAGAGGGGGGUAGAAUUCCAGGUGUAGCGAUGAAAUGCGUAGAGAUCUGGAGGAAUACCGGUGGCGAAGGCGGCCCCCUGGACAAAGACUGACGCUCAGGUGCGAAAGCGUGGGGAGCAAACAGG
rnacentral:rRNA from 1 species